rnacentral:rRNA from 1 species
AUUGAACGCUGGCGGCAGGCCUAACACAUGCAAGUCGAGCGGAUGAAGGGAGCUUGCUCCUGGAUUCAGCGGCGGACGGGUGAGUAAUGCCUAGGAAUCUGCCUGGUAGUGGGGGAUAACGUCCGGAAACGGGCGCUAAUACCGCAUACGUCCUGCGGGAGAAAGUGGGGGAUCUUCGGACCUCACGCUAUCAGAUGAGCCUAGGUCGGAUUAGCUAGUUGGUGGGGUAAAGGCCUACCAAGGCGACGAUCCGUAACUGGUGUGAGAGGAUGAUACGUCACACUGGAACUGAGACACGGUCCAGAGUCCUACGGGAGGCAGCAGUGGGGAAUAUUGGACAAAGGGCGAAAGCCUGAUCCAGCCAUGCCGCGUGUGUGAAGAAGGUCUUCGGAUUGUAAAGCACUUUAAGUUGGGAGGAAGGGCAGUAAGUUAAUACCUUGCUGUUUUGACGUUACCAACAGAAUAAGCACCGGCUAACUUCGUG